ACAGAGGAUUCCGAAAAUCUGCAAGAGAGUAGGAG
rfam:Alistipes sp. An31A An31A_contig_10, whole genome shotgun sequence.